AAAGAAUUAGUUAAAAAUAACAUUAGGUUGUCAGCCUAAAAUUGCUAGUACUAGCAUUCUUUA
rnacentral:tRNA from 1 species